ACAGGCUGUCUCACAGGCUGUCCACUGACUGUCUCACUGACUGUCCCACGGACUGUCUCACAGGCUGUCUCACUAACUAUCUCACUGACUGUCUCACAGACUGUCUCACUGACUGUCCCACAGACUGUCUCACAGACUGUCUCACUGACUGUCCCACAGGCUGUCUCACAGGCUGUUUCACUGACUGUCUCACUGACUGUCCCACGGACUGUCUCAAGGCGGUCUCACUGACUGUCCCACAGACUGUCUCACUGACUGUCCCACAGACUGUCUCACAGGCUGUCUCACAGGCUGUCUCACUGACUGUCUCACUGACUGUCCCACGGACUGUCUCAAGGCGGUCUCACUGACUGUCCCACAGGCUGUCUCACAGGCUGUCUCACAGACUGUCUCACAGACUGUCUCAAAUCAAAUCAAAUAUGAAAUAUCAUGUUAUGAAUGAUACAUACAUAAAUACUGAUCGACACAGAUUUGCACGUGCAUAUCUAAACUCCCUGUUCCAUUUGGUAAUCCACACAAACAUGUAUAUACAUAUAUAUACCCUUUUGUAUUUUGUUUAUAUAAAUGACACAUAAGCGCAUACGGUACAUUUAACUAUUAUUUUGUAUCAAUUAGAUACUCUUUGGGCUUGUUUUUAUCUUCUUGUUCUACUUGUUGAAAUAGUUAUUUUUGCCAGCAAGAUCUCAUUGGAUGAUGGAUUCCAUGAAGCCUUCAGCCAGCAGGCAUAUUUAAAGAAAUAUAAUCUAAUUGAUCAGGGGUUAGAUUUUGCCAUUUUUCAAUUAAAUUCAGUUUCAACGGGGCCCGGAUCUCUGUAUAAAUGUGUUAACUUUUGUAUUUUAACUCUCAAUCUGCUUAUUUAAAUGCUAAUUUAAAUACUAAUAUACAUCAAUAGAUAUUACCCGCUUGAUUACAGCACAGCUGAAGCUAGUGAGACCCAUACUGGGGAAUUAAAAACAGAACCGUUGGCAUUUCAGCUAAUAAUAGAAUUCUUCUGCAGUGGAAAAACAUUUUAGCAGUCAAAAUGUCUUCAUUUGAAAAAGAUUAAACUAAAAUACCGUCCUCUUCAUAUUUACCAACAGAUAUAUGACUAUAUCACUGUAGGUAAAUCUAUGUAUGUGAUGACCAUCUGCAGGCCUCUCUAAAGGAUUCCUGUGCCUGUUAUUAUUUUAUCUCUAAAUCUAAACUUGAUGCUGUUUUUAAUUUUGUAUUUUGUUUAGUAUCUGCAAAGCAGCUUUACCGGGACCGGGACGAAAACUAGUGUGAAAACUGUUGUAUCAACACAAACCAUCCUGUAAUAUCCAUAUCAGCUUUGUGUAUUUGUACAAAAAAGUUCAAUUGACUAAAAAUAAUGCCUAAGUGCUUAAUCCAGGUUUCCCUUGUAGACCCAGUGGGUUCAGAUAUGUACUGAAGUCUACAUAUUAACACAAAGCUUCCACUUCAGAUACGGUUCUGUUGUGACAUUUACAACAACAGCUCUGCCUUGUGUACGGUUUGUGUUUAUUGGUAAAACUGAGGCAGACAAAAUAAAUGGUGUUUUUUUGGUUUACUUCUCCAACUACAAGAUUCAGCAGGAAUAGAUAGAAACAAACCUGAAGAAAUCCCUUCAGUAAAAGUAUUGACAACCACUGGCAUAGACGUAUAAGAUGUCAUAAGAUGUACACUGCGUCACUGGGGAAUUUAGCUAAAUUAAACAGAAAUGAUCAAAUGAAAUACUGCAGAAAAAAUGUAUAAGAAUAAUAAUUACAGAUAUAACAGAUUUCUUAUAACAUAAAAGUGACUGGAGCUUUGCUAAGAUGGAUUUCAUUCACAUUAACAUGAAUCAACAUUUAUUUACCAACCUGCAAGCACCAGGGAGAUUUUAAUGACGGGACUUUGGCCUGAAGCACAUAGCAAGACAAACAUCCAGCUACUUCUCCUCUAAAAUAAGCUUUGCCACAAACCUUUUUCUAGCAUGGCUUAGAAACGGACGAGUACUUUGUCUGUCCUCUGGGCAGCUGUUGUCCACACUUGUCCAGGCGCCCUGUUCUUAGCUGAGGACUACGCUGCCCAUCCUUCAGCCUUUGUCAGAUGUUUGCAACACUCAGCAGCAGCUGGCAGAGCCACGCAGCUCUAGCUGAGAAGCUCUAAAUUAUGAUUUAUUAGUUCAGAAGACGCACAAGGACAGUUCUGUUAGAUCAGCGCUGUUAGAUCACGUUUUCUCUCUGUCUCCUUGUGUCCGUUUAUUGCCUGAUUUACUGCUGCUGGUGCAGCUCCAGGACAGCAGAGAGCUGCUAGCUUAUAUUUUCAUCACAGACACAGGAAGGAAGGAGGAAAUGAAAUGAGGUGAGCACUGAGCAUUAUGUGAAUGAAAAAAAAUUCCUGUGUUUAGGCUGAGGUGUCCAAACACAAAAGGGAUACAGGAGCUGAUGCUUUCUGAUGAAGGAUUCUUUUUCUUAGAUACUGUAUAUCUUUCCUCUCUUCCGCUGUAUUAGAUUUUUUUUUUUAAAUACAUGCCUCGUGUGAUGAGUGGGACUAAAUAAAGUUCAUAAAAAAUGCAUGUGAAAACAUGUUAAUCCAAAAGAACAGAGGAAGUAUCACGCAGCAGGAUAUCAUUGUGGUUUUCAGAAGUAACGCAAAAUAAAAAAUACAUGUAAAUAUUCAAAAUAAUGGGAGCAGAAAAGCCCUGCACUGUGAGUUGAUGCAACACGAGGGCUCCAGGCCAGACAGAGUGCUGACUGAUGCAAGCUGAAUAAAUCCUACACUUGGGAGACGUUUUUUCUGCAGAUCAACUGUUUAUUUCCAUCAUGAGUUUUCGCAUAAUUUACUGUUUGAGAUGAUUGGACUGCUCAUGGCUGAAGCCAACCAACCAAAAGACAGCAUUCCUCCCAAUCCAGCACCACUUCCAACUGUGUUACAACUGCAUCUCAAGCUAUGAAGUCAGACCAACACUCAAAUACUUAUCUGGCCCUGGUGUGGAGAAAAAGAUUGACCAGGUGUCAGACAUGUUGUGAAAUAGAUAACCCCACCUUAGAGCCAGACUGAGGGGCUGAAACGAUUGUAACACCUACAAUGCAAUGUAGUGAGAGCAUCACCAGUUGAUCAACGGUAGGCACCCACGUUACCGGACAGUCUUAUCCUGCUAGCUAUAAACCGCGUAUGAGAAAAGGUCAUGCAUGUGUGUGUGUGUCAGCUGCAGCCAUCUGUUAAGCAGCUGUGGAAUGAUCUCCACAUGGUACCUCUCACUCUGUCUCUGAUCCCUCCCCUGGCGGAGAAGAGGUGAGCUGAGCUAAGUGGUGCAGAGAUGCUUUAUGGGUAAAAGCUUAGCUCACCAACACACACACUAUAUAUAUCCAUAUUAUAUGUACAUUUCAUCUUAUACAAGUGUGUACAGAUAUCUGUAUUCUAAGAAGUUACUUAUUUUAUUUACGACAACAACUGUAUUAUAUAAACUGUCUACAGCUUGAAGUCCUUGUAAAGGAAUCAGUAGCCAAAAAAUAUAGUUACUGGUUUGUUGGUAAAACAAUUGUCACAAGGUAACUAUAAAGUAUCUAUGUAUCAAUGUGUAAAUGGGAAACGUUUUGCUACCAAGUUCGACAUAUCAAAACGGGAAAAAAGUCCAUUUUAUUGUAAAUGUUAACUACCGGAAAAAAUUGCCAAGAAUAUUUGUGUAAAGGUAUUGCUGUUUAAAACUUCAGAAAACAUCAGGGUCAGAGUCACAGACAAAGUGGUGGUAUCUGCUGGAGUGCUUCCUCAGUGGCUCUGACAUAUUUAAUCUAACCCGAUGAAGUUCAGCAGUUGGCUCAAUGGCAUCAGAACCUCAAGGAACCCACAAAGAAGGAGGGGUCCUUUAGUCAUUGUCACAGCCUUCUAAUAGUGCAUCAAUGUCAGAUUCUGGUGCCACUUUAAUCAAAGUAAAUGGGGGAGUUAAUGGCAAUUCCCAGAUCCCUGAUAUAUUUGUUUGUUUUCCACUCUUGCCACCGUUUGGUCGCUUCAUCCUGAUACGUAAUAAAACUAUUGUUAUUAAUCAUCAUUCCGAAUUAAUUAUCAUCAUGCGUAAUAAAGAAACACCGAGCAAAAAACACUAACAUUAAUUACAUUAAUAAACAUUUAACAUAAAUAUAAAUGUGUAAAGCGUCAGUUACCAUAAUGUUACACGGUCAUCAGACUGGUGUGACCAAUUUACACUAACAACUGGUUCUGUGGAUUUCAUCAGCCGAUCUUAGUUUGCAGAACACAGAGGAAAAAACACCAGAGAGGACACGUCUGAAUAGUACAGAAUGUUACACGGAAAAAGGAUUUUCCCAUGAUGCAACCAUAACUAAGCCCAGCUUUAGUUUUUCCACUGCACGCUCCCUUUUCCACCUUUCCUCAUUUCCGAGCUUUGAUAAGAGAAAUGUGUGUCUAUACGUAUGUGUGCACGUCUGUACUAUACGGCAACCCCACAGCCUUUGAACGAACACAGUUCAAACUGACCUGUUUCUCACAAAUGUCUCUCUGCACUUCAUUGAGACAAUUAAGAAUAACUCCAAUGUGUCAUUUGGAAUAUGUAUGCAUGACCUAUGGGUAUAGACCCUUUAUGUAAUAAUAAUAUUGGUUUUUAAACUUAAUUAAUAUGUAAUGAUCAAUAAUAUUGUUAAUUAACCAGGACCAUUCCCUAAAUAAAACCAUUUGUUGCAAAUAAUUUACAGAUUUUAAAUAAAAAAAUGUAUUUUAUCUUGUUCCUGUGAUGGCGAAUGUGUAAUUUAACAAUAUGACUUAUCUUGAAAGUUUUUAAUAUCAGACUCAUAUAUGUUUAGACCCUUUCAAUUCACCUAAAAUGAGACUGAAAUCAUAGAACACCCCGUUGUCCUCUCAAGUUCAUAAGCACAUCUGUGUUGAUGUUUGACAACAAGAAGGAGAUGAUGUUUGUGUCUCUGUGCCAACACCUACCUGGGACUCCUGCCCCUUAUGAGCUACUCUGAUCCUGCAUUCAUGGCUCGUCCUCCUGCAGACUGCACUCUGUAUGACGAUCGAGACUAGAGAGUAGAGAAUAAACUCCAAAGAGGAACCUCUGUCCUUACUUCAUUAUCCUAGGACUCACUCUAUAGCAAUGUAAUAACGUAGUAUUGAUGGUUUUGAUUUUGUCAAAUUUGAUUAUUUUAAUUAUGGCAUGAAUUUCACAUAGUUUGUAAAUACAUUUACAUAGCUAGCUAACUUAACUUUAUGACGCUUUUAUCAGCAAAAAAACAAGCAAGGCCAUUUAUUUGUGUAAAUACAUACAAAGGCAUUUGCCCAACUUUUCGUUGUUGAGGCUUUAUUAUAUAAAUAGAAGUACGUUCGUAUCUAAAGGCUGUUAAAAAUUGGGGGGGGGGGGGGGCUUCAUGCUAUUCGGAGAGGAAGAAGUCGUCAUAAAAACCCUCAAUAACCGUGAAAAAGCAUUUACUUUACAGAACACAUGGAGUAGCACUUCACAUAGGAAAUGAAACAUUACUAAAAGUAAAUUACGUACAUCGGCAUAACAGACUGUGUUUUGUUGUAAAUAACAAUAUAGUAUCAAUAUACAGUGUCCUUAAACUGUGAUUCAGUGUAAAUGUUCAGUUUUGUAGCACACCGAGGUCUCAUACGAAGACAAAUUAAUAGAAAAUCGGAUUAAUCAGUUAUCUGUUACCCCUAUUAUCAGAUAAAUCAUUCAUUCGAGGUAUUGCUGGGAUUUUUUCUUCCUUAAGUACCCAUUCAUUACUGGUGUGUUCUCUUCUACAUUUUGACCUCAGGAAAAAUAUCCGUGGCUAAAAUCUUAUAUUUUUUCCCUGUGGAGAGUCUGGUCUCUUCUUUUCCGUUGAUUUUAUCAGCCAAACCAAUGAGCACAAAGUGUCAAGGAGUGGAACCGGACAACUCAAGAGCACGACUCAGAGGUACAGCUGCGUUUUAUUCCUUAAGCCUGGCCGAGGACAAGCAUUGUUCGUUACACAAAUUAGGUAGAAGGCAAAAGUUCAAAAAGUAACUGGACUGGUAACAAAGGUGCUGGGACGCCUGAUAAAAGACGCGACCAAAGUACACAAGGGAGGUGAGUCAACGAGACACCGCCGUUAACCUGUAAGCAGCACACAGGGAAGACAUGAGGGCAGGGGAUGUCAAACACCUGAAAUAAGACGGAGACAUGGGGAUUAUCAGAGUAAAAUAGGAAACGGGAUAAAACGAGGUAAGUAAUGAUAAGGAUAGGUUACUGCCACAAAGUGUGGAAACUCAAGUCAAGGCAAUGAAUAAAGAAUUAACAACCAAAUCUUCUCACAAACAGUGAGCUACCGAAAUAGGACACCAGAGGUAUUAAAACAAAAGGGAAUUGAAGUCUAAUGCAUCUGAUUAACCAACGUUGAAGGAAACAUUUUUGUGUUCAAAUAUACAUUGUUUGCCCUCUAUACAUUGAAAAAGAAGUGGAGUCUGUUAUUGUUUGUAUCCGUAUGGCCUGAUAAAGCAAACAGCUUGAAGCUUUUCCAGCCUCCAUCAAGCUGCUGAUCUCUAAUGCUAAAUGUUCGUGCAGCAUGAGGAAUGUGCAAUACAUACAUUUUUUCAGCUGCUGUGUUCUCAAUGUACAAUGUGUCCAUGUUUUAAGAUGUUUUUAUAUUGUUUUUACAAUGUUAUAUGUGCAAAGCAACGUUUUCCCUCUGGUCUAAUAAAUUAUGAACAAGAGCUGUUUCUGCCUCUUGAUCAUUUUUUCACACUCUGAUUCAGUAAACUACGGAAACAGACAUUACAUGAAGGUCUUCACAUCUGUAACUGAUGUGUGUUACAUUAAAGCACAUUUUUGAGUCUAUAUCACGUUUCAUAUUAUUUAUAAAUGGUUCGUACUGCACUUCUGCACAUUCCUUGCAAAGUGUUUCAGGUUUCACAAACCUACUUUUAGAAAUAACAGUAGUAUUAGUAAUAGUAUUUAUAUAUUUAUGUUUCAUAUUUUUGGCAAGACUUGAUUUCAUUAUUUUCAACUUCACAAACGCAUUGAGUGAAAUCCAUUGCCUGGUGAAACCUUUCUGAGGAGCUUGUGAUUGGCAUAUGAACAGCGUUGCAUUGUGGCAUCAAUGGUGGCAUUAACUAUGUAACAACUAAACUAUUCUCAGAUGACAUUCUUUGGGUGUUUCGGUCCGAUGUGGAUUUAUUGGGUCCAUGACAGUUGGGGAAAAUCUGGUUUACCUCCACGGGUUGUCUCAGUGCCUCCUGCAACAGUUCCUUAAUCAGAAAAUAAGUAAAACACACACACACAAUAUGUUGCAGACCGAAUAAUGUAAAGAAACAAAGUGGAUGAAAGCUGCACGCAGACAGGCUCCUAUGUGAGCGCAAGGCCGCGCACCCGCGCACUGCAACCAGACCGCCGCACGUGUGCGUGCUUUUCUACGUGUACUUUUUUCCAUUUGUAAUGGACUUCCACUAUAGGCUGUCAUUCAUCAUCUUUAAGUUCUUCUGCAGGUACACAUCUCUCUCUCUCACACACGCACACACCUACACACACACACACACACAAACACACACACACACACACACACACACACACACACACACACACACACACACAGGGUCAACCACUUAACCCGCUUUAAUCACAGGCGCCAUUAACAUCAACACGGUAUUUUGUGGAAAUCAACGCCGAGACAUAAACUUUCUGUCACUUUCAUAUUUCAAAAGAAAAUGCUCUAAUUAUCAAUCAGCCUCGCGCACUGAUUGUACCACCGCGCAUUUGGUCAGAUCUCAAAACCUAAAAACGUUUGGGAUUGACUUUUCAAUAUAUGGCUCUGACUAUUUCUUGUUUAGUUAAUUGUCGUAAUGCGGCGAUCACGUGCAGCAAUAUGAUUCACAUCCUCUUUAGUUUGAUGAUCACGUAUACGACUUGUGAAAAAAUAUUUUAAACACCUAUUAUCCAUGAAAUGCAAGCAUUAUACACAUGUUCGUAUAAACGUUAGAAGCAGUCUAGGUUUCAACAAAAGCUGAUCAUAUUUUUUGUAGAAUAUUAUAUCAACAUAUUUUAUUGUGUAACAGCUUCCACUCUAUAUGUUAAGGUCAGUGCAUAGGGAUGAAAAUGCAAUAUGUAUAUAGUAAUUAAUGUAUUGGACAGAUUGUGAAGCCUUCUGAAGCAAAUCUGUAAUUUGUGAUUUUGGGCUAAAGAAAUAAAUUGAAUUGAAUUGAAUUGAAUUGAUAUAAAUUAACAUUUG
ensembl:lncRNA